UGUGCUUCAGAGAGCCACCCACUGUGCCAAGCACGGCGACGUAAGCCGUCUCAUUUGAACCUCCUCACAACAGGAUGGGGCUUUGGACUGAGCGCUCUGGACCCAUUAAUGCAAGGUCUGACUCUUCCAGACUGAGAGACUGCUGAAGGAAGAAGCAGUGACCCACGGCUGAGUACAGUGGCCAGGGUUCCAGGGUACACAUCUGUCAAUUCACCCCUCUGGAGGCAUGGGCUGCUGGGAGGUGAAAGAGUUCAUACAGCCAACCAGGAAGCAGUCACUCUGACAAGCCAAGCGAAGAGAUGUUUGGCCACCUGCAUCUGACUUCUAGAUCGGCUUCUGUUCUUGGGACCAGCAAUGCUUGAAUGAAAAGCUCUGCUGAUUGCCUGCUGCAGAGAAGCCUGGACCCACAGGGCACCGGGCAUGAAGGAAAGCAAGCGGUUCCGUGUUGAAGGCAAGGGUCUCUGUCCUGCAGCAGGUAUGCAGAAAGUCGCCUCCGUGGUGGAAGGGUCUGAGUGGUAUAGACCCCAUAGCACAGCCUCCUUCGCCUCACACUCUCCGUGAUCUCCCCAGUCUCCUCUGAACAGCCAUAAAGCUAGUCAUUAAAAUGUGCCUCAAGGUCGGCAAUCAAUCUCAAGGGGGUUUUAGUUUAUUGUCUGGAGGAGGAAGCCUUCCACUGCCUCUCUUGUCACUGAAGAGGCAUCACAUAAAGGACCCUUUAAUCUCACCCAGACAUCUCAUGGGGCACCAUGGCGAGUAAGUCCCCUCCCUGGCAAACACACGGGCUCGUUAACAGGGACCUUUACCACCAGUGACACAAUGGAACUUUCUUUAUAAGGGUUGAAAGGGCACAGGAGUUGCAAAAUGUCUUAAGGGCCAUGAAUUGUAGACUCCUUCCUGCCCCUCUGCCUGGGGUCAAAUGUGGGGACACUCAUGCAUCGGUGCUAUGCCUCCUAUCCACUGUGCACCUUGCUCAUAGGUAUGUGGCCCUGUCAGAUUUCUCUGUCCAGGACCAUGUCUCUGUCUUGCCUGAUAUCCCCACUGGUGUGUCUCUCACAGUGCGGUGUAGUAUGAGGACACUCAGUGUGAAGAAUGUAAGCCACAGGGAGCCAGCUAAGGAACAUAGAAUCCUUGAGUUCACUCUGACUCAACACUGGGGUUUUGGGCCUUGUAGGAUACUUAGCAGUAUCCCUGAUCUCCACCAGUGUGAUACCAACAGCAGCCUGCCAACCUGCUGGACAACCAAAACUGUCCCCAUACAUUGCUCUGGGACAAAUUACCUGGCUGUGCCAACAGUGUGCAUGGCAGAAGUCUGUGUACAGAGAGCAUCAGAGAGCAGACACUGAUGUUUGGGAUGCCCACGGGACCUUGUCUGGAGAUGGAGGUGGGGAUGUGUGUGGUACCUUUCCCACACUCUCCACGGAAGCUCUUUGUCAUUCCUCUUUAGAAGGUGUCAGGAAAAGGGGGGCUGCUGUGGUCAGAACCCUUGCUAUUUUAUUAUUAGCUAUUACGAAGCACCGAAAGCCCCGAACUUGGCUGAAGUGCCCUCUUGAGACAAGUUAUGGGAUGUGGGAUGACUGUCUGUUUUCAGCGUCCAGCACGCAGGGAUUGGGGCAAGCCCAUCAGCCUAAGAUGGCGAAAACUAUGGUGCCAGCACCCAUUACAUCAAUUUGUGAGAAAACUACGCAAUAAAUGGCAUCUCUUACUGUUCCUG
rnacentral:lncRNA from 1 species